rnacentral:rRNA from 1 species
UCGAUUGAGUUUGAUCCUGGCUCAGAACGAACGUUAGCGGCGCGCCUAACACAUGCAAGUCGAGCGAGAAAGGGCUUCGGCCCCGGUAAAGCGGCGCACGAGUGAGUAACACGUGGGUAACCUGCCCUCGGGUCGGGGAUAACAUUCCGAAAGGAGUGCUAAUACCGGAUAAGACCACGACCUCGAAAGAGGAAGCGGUCAAAGCUGGCCUCUAUAUAUAAGCUAGCGCCUGAGGAUGGGCCCGCGGCGCAUCAUGGUAGUUGGUGAGGUAAUGGCUCACCAAGCCGAAGACGCGUAGCUGGUCUGAGAGGAUGAUCAGCCACACUGGAACUGAGACACGGUCCAGACUCCUACGGGAGGCAGCAGUGGGGAAUCUUGCGCAAUGGGCGAAAGCCUGACGCAGCGACGCCGCGUGAGUGAUGAAGGCCUUCGGGUUGUAAAGCUCUGUGGGGGGAGACGAAUAAGUGCAAGCUAAUACCUUGCAUGAUGACGGUAUCCCCUUAGCAAGCACCGGCUAACUCUGUGCCAGCAGCCGCGGUAAGACAGAGGGUGCAAACGUUGUUCGGAAUUACUGGGCGUAAAGCGAGUGUAGGCGGUUUCCUAAGUCGGAUGUGAAAGCCCCGGGCUCAACCCGGGAAGUGCACUCGAUACUGGGGAGGCUAGAGUAUCGGAGAGGUUG